GAUGUUGCAUUGCUAGAUGAUUAGCAUGCAUAUUGUGGCCUUUAGGGUGGUAGCUAAUUCCCAUGGUGAGGAUUAGUGAGUAGUCAUUUUGGACUUGUUGAUGUUUGCAUGCUAGGUGAUUAGCGUGCAUAGCAUGACCCAUUUGGGGUGGUAGCUAAUCCCAUGGUGAGGAAUUAGUGAGUGAGUCACUAGGUCUCAAAUGAGUGGGACUAGUGGGCUUGGUAGCGUGCCUGGAUUUGGACGGUGAGGUGAACUAUAUGUUCAUAAAUAGUCGGGACCACAUGCAUGGAGUCUCAUUGCAUAAUUGAUGUAUGGCGUAUAAUAUGAAUGGAUGUAUUCCAGUAUUAUACGUGUGUUGUGUGUUGUGUUGAUGUUAAGUAUGAUUGAGUGAUAUUGCUGUUACUGAAGGUGUAAUCUGAUUUGGGUGAUUAACGUGUUAAAUGACUUAACAUGACAUUAGAUUCUAUAAUGCUUAUUAUAUCGAUGAGGAACUCACCCUUACAACUAUUUUUCAGGUAACGAGCAAUGAGUUGAGUAGAAGCUAAUGCUUGGAGUCUAGUGUAGUCUCCUUAGUGGGUCAUGCUCUGAUAGAUGUAACAUCGGGAGGGAACAUUUUAAUUGUGUUGUUGAUGUUGUUGAACCAGUUUACAUGUAGUAUGUUACAUGUUUUGAAUGAAUCGAUUUGAUCUCUAUCCGCUGCGUAUUGUGCAAUACUUUAUGUUUUGAGUUAAAUAAUGAGCAUGACUAAAUAUUAUGGUGAUUGGUGUGAAAUAAUUGUGUGACACCCUUGAUUGCAUGUUUACUCUGAUUUACCUUUGUGAUUUUAAUUGAACAUUUGGGGUAUUCUAGAAGGGUGUUACAUAACUCGUGUACCAAAUUGUUGGAUGAGGAGCCAAUUGCCUCCUAGUUCUUUGACUAGAGCGUGAGGAUAAGAAGAAUGAUUUCCCCCGUUAUUGAGAAUAGGAAGAGCAACUUUCACGUUAAUAUGAGGAAGUCGUUUCUUACUUAGAUAAGCGACAAAUGUUGAUCCUUUCAGAUGCACAUGGCCUCAUGUAAUAUAAUAGCUGUCACUUGAAUAACACGAAUUUGGACCGUCUGACCCAUGCUAGAUAAGGUGGACUUCAAGUCGAAUAACCCAACGCCCAUUGUGUCGUACUUGUCCGUUUUAUCCAAUGACCCUUUGUGACGCUUAAAGACAGAGAGAAUUAUGGAUUAUUUUCUUCCGGGGCCAAAUAAAAAUGAUCCCAAUCAACUAUGUAAGCAAAAAGUUUUGUAAUUAUUAUAUAAAUCAGUUCAAUUAAUAAAGAUACACACUUUGUUACUCAUCAAAAUCCUUUCUCUAUUACUUAAAUUUUAUUUAGAGAAAAUAUAUUCUUCCACUAAAAACAUAUUCCUAUGCCGUAUUAUAAUAAUAUUCUUUUAAAAAAUAUAUAUAUAAAAAAUUAUUUUUCUAUUUUUUUUAUUUUUAAAUUAAAUAAUACUAAUAUAAAAUUGUGUGACUAACCAACUUCAUAAUUUUAUUAACAAUAUUUUACAUUGUAUUAACCAACUCUAACGACGGCACAAAGUUAUUUUUGAUAUCUAAACGUUUAUUAACCAAUUUCAUAACUUCAUUAAUCAUUUUUUUACUUUUUAUUAACCAACUUUUGUGUACUAUUAAAAAUUAUUUUUAAUAUCUGAACAUUUAUUAACCAACUUCAUCGUUUUAUUAACCAACUUUUUAUAUUUUAUUAACCAAUUUAAUUUCACUACUUUAAAGUUAAUAUUCACGAUAAUUAUUCAUCGAUACUGUUUACGGAUACUGUUCACACAUUAUUCAUGCACAGUUUACACAUUAUUCAUAAAAGGAUAUUUUUUAUUUAAAAAACAAUUUUUAUUAUAUAAAUACGAUAAAAUGUAUAUACGACCAAUAUAUAUACUUAGUGUAAAAAAUGGUGUAGGAAUAUUGCUGUAUUAUUUAACAGCAACCUGCAAUAAAAUUCAUAAACAUUUCCCAUGCAUAGCACCCGGUACAUACUAUAAUAUAUUAUCAUUUCAACAACAUGAAACAGUUAUAUUAUAUUUACUUUUUAUUUUGGUGAAUAAAAACAAUAAGUCCUACUCGUGAAACGCAUGGUUACUUUAUUAUUAAAAAAGGGGUGCUUCACAUCAUUACUACUGUAUUAUAUAUAGAGGCAUAUAGUUAAUCAACAAACUCACAAACAAAAAACAUUCUUAAUCACCUAACAAUGAAACCUCUUUCACCACUCACCCUUUCCUUCCUCCUCUUUGUUUUCAUCACCACUCUUUCACUAGCUUUCUCAAAUGAAGAUGUUGAGCAAGUAUUGGACGUUAAUGGCAAGCCCAUUUUCCCCGGUGGCCAAUACUACAUCUUGCCAGCAAUCACUGGAUCCUCUUUGUUUUCAUCACCACUCUUUCACUAGCUUUCUCAAAUGAAGAUGUUGAGCAAGUAUUGGACGUUAAUGGCAAGCCCAUUUUCCCCGGUGGCCAAUACUACAUCUUGCCAGCAAUCACUGGCCCUCCCGGCGGAGGAGUAAGACUCGGAAGAACCGGUGAUUUAACCUGUCCAGUCACCGUCCUACAAGACCGCCGAGAAGUUAAAAACGGUCUACCAGUGAAGUUUGUUAUACCAGAAAUAUCUACUGGUAUAAUUUUCACUGGUACACCAAUUGAAAUAGAGUAUACAAAGAAACCUAAUUGUGCAAAAUCAUCAAAAUGGUUAGUAUUUGUUGACAAUGUUAUUCAAAAGGCCUGUGUUGGUAUUGGUGGUCCUGAGAAUUACCCUGGUAUUCAAACAUUGAGUGGAUUAUUUAAGAUUGAGAAGCAUGAAUCUGGAUUUGGCUAUAAGCUUGGAUUUUGUAUUAAGGGUUCUCCUACUUGUUUGGAUGUUGGAAGAUUUGAUAAUGAUGAAGCUGGAAGAAGGUUGAAUUUGACUGAGCAUGAGUCCUUUCAAGUUGUGUUUGUUGAAGCUGAGGCUAAUGAUGCUGAGUUUAUUAAACUCCUACUUGUUUGGAUGUUGGAAGAUUUGAUAAUGAUGAAGCUGGAAGAAGGUUGAAUUUGACUGAGCAUGAGUCCUUUCAAGUUGUGUUUGUUGAAGCUGAGGCUAAUGAUGCUGAGUUUAUUAAAUCUGUUGUUUGAAUUUUAGUUUAGUAUAAUUAAGCUAGAUUGUGUGAGUUUUAGUUCUUGCACAGUUUUAAGCAUAUAAUAAAAUGGAAAUAUUUGUGUUCAAUGUUUUCUCUCUUCUAUUAUUUUUCUCUUUAUAUAUAUCAUUCAUUAUAUUCUCUCUCUCUAGUUGUUACAAAAUCAUUAAGGAUAAGUUUUGUUACUAUAUUUUUGGAUUGAAUUCUUAAAUGGUUUU
rnacentral:lncRNA from 1 species